rnacentral:rRNA from 1 species
GAUCCGUAACUUCGGGAAAAGGAUUGGCUCAUAGGACUGGGCUCGUCGGGCCUUUGCUUGAGGCUGUUGGACCGGUCUAGGACUACUUUGGCUUUCGGGCUAAGGCGGACUUGGACUGGACUGGCGGUGGACGGCUUUGGCUGUUGCCCUUCGGGGUAUCCGGCGGGCGCUUAACAGUCAACUAUGAACUGGUACGGACAAGGGGAAUCUGAC